rnacentral:rRNA from 1 species
GGGAGCUUGCUCCCGGAUGUUAGCGGCGGACGGGUGAGUAACACGUGGGUAACCUGCCUGUAAGACUGGGAUAACUCCGGGAAACCGGAGCUAAUACCGGAUAGUUCCUUGAACCGCAUGGUUCAAGGAUGAAAGACGGUUUCGGCUGUCACUUACAGAUGGACCCGCGGCGCAUUAGCUAGUUGGUGGGGUAAUGGCUCACCAAGGCGACGAUGCGUAGCCGACCUGAGAGGGUGAUCGGCCACACUGGGACUGAGACACGGCCCAGACUCCUACGGGAGGCAGCAGUAGGGAAUCUUCCGCAAUGGACGAAAGUCUGACGGAGCAACGCCGCGUGAGUGAUGAAGGUUUUCGGAUCGUAAAGCUCUGUUGUUAGGGAAGAACAAGUGCGAGAGUAACUGCUCGCACCUUGACGGUACCUAACCAGAAAGCCACGGCUAACUACGUGCCAGCAGCCGCGGUAAUACGUAGGUGGCAAGCGUUGUCCGGAAUUAUUGGGCGUAAAGGGCUCGCAGGCGGUUUCUUAAGUCUGAUGUGAAAGCCCCCGGCUCAACCGGGGAGGGUCAUUGGAAACUGGGAAACUUGAGUGCAGAAGAGGAGAGUGGAAUUCCACGUGUAGCGGUGAAAUGCGUAGAGAUGUGGAGGAACACCAGUGGCGAAGGCGACUCUCUGGUCUGUAACUGACGCUGAGGAGCGAAAGCGUGGGGAGCGAACAGGAUUAGAUACCCUGGUAGUCCACGCCGUAAACGAUGAGUGCUAAGUGUUAGGGGGUUUCCGCCCCUUAGUGCUGCAGCUAACGCAUUAAGCACUCCGCCUGGGGAGUACGGUCGCAAGACUGAAACUCAAAGGAAUUGACGGGGGCCCGCACAAG